UUAAGUUCAGCGGGUAUCCCUACCUGAUCCGAGGUCAACCUUUGAAAAUUAGGGGUUGGUUGGCAAGCCUCCACCUGGAACUCCAUAGCGAGAAGAAUUACUACGCUUAGAGCCAGAUGGCACCGCCACUGAUUUUAAGGCCCGCCCAGAGGCGAAAGCCCAAGACCAGCAAGCUGGAUUGGUUUAAAUGACGCUCGAAC
rnacentral:misc_RNA from 1 species